CAGGCCUAACACAUGCAAGUCGAACGAAGUAGCAAUACUUAGUGGCAGUCGGGUGAGUAACAUGUAGGUAUCUACCCUUUGGCCUGGAAUAACACGAGGAAACUUGUGCUAAUACCGGAUAAGUCUUUACGGAGAAAGCUUUAUGCACCAUUGGAUGAGCCUGCACUUGAUUAGUUUGUUGGUAGGGUAAUGGCCUACCAAGACUUUGAUCAAUAGCUGAUUUGAGAGGAUGAUCAGCCACAUUGGGACUGAGACACGGCCCAAACUCCUACGGGAGGCAGCAGUGGGGAAUCUUGCACAAUGGAGGAAACUCUGAUGCAGCGAUGCCGCGUGAGUGAAGAAGGCCUUUGGGUUGUAAAGCUCUUUCGUCGGGGAAGAAAAUGACUGUACCCGAAUAAGAAGGUCCGGCUAACUUCGUGCCAGCAGCCGCGGUAAUACGAAGGGACCUAGCGUAGUUCGGAAUUACUGGGCUUAAAGAGUUCGUAGGUGGUUGAAAAAGUUGGUGGUGAAAUCCCAGAGCUUAACUCUGGAACUGCCAUCAAAACUUUUCAGCUAGAGUUUGAUAGAGGAAAGCAGAAUUUCUAGUGUAGAGGUGAAAUUCGUAGAUAUUAGAAAGAAUACCAAUUGCGAAGGCAGCUUUCUGGAUCAU
rnacentral:rRNA from 1 species